CAUUUUCAACGAACACCCGUACCGAGUAACAAUUAGAUACCACAAUAACAUCAUUAUUGUUAAAUCCAACUAAUAAAUAAAUUAUAUUUUAUUUCAGAUACACAUACCAUAUAAUAUAUUUUGAAUUAGAACUUUGUAUUUAUUCUAUAUCCAUUGAGAGAUUAGAAACAUGGUUAGGUUGAUAACGGAUGUGUUAAAAUAAAAUGGAGAUCUACAAGUUCACUGUUUGUGUAAAAUAUUACAAAUGACUGGUUCGAAAUUAUCAUAAAUGUAUUUCUAGUUUAAUAUAGCUCGGUCAAAGCUUUUGCGCAUCUAUUAAUAUUAGAACGUGAUUCGUUUAGAGAAAGUUAAUCAACAACGUUAAUACAAUUAAAAUACACGAUAUGACAUGUAUUUCGACAAAUAGAUUCAUGAAGUUUCAGAUCCAGAUCAGUCGAUUAUGAAGGGAUCUCGUUUUAAAUAUAGACAAAAACACUUACCGUUCAACUAAUGACUUAAUUCAUUCAAAAUAACUGUUAUAAUUUACUAUAUGAUUUCGUAGAAGAAACAGACAAUGGAGCAAUGUAAUAAUUACAUAUAGGCACUAUUAACAAUAUUAUACAUAUA
rnacentral:lncRNA from 1 species